rnacentral:rRNA from 1 species
GGCCGCAGUAUUCUAACUGUGCAAAGGUAGCAUAAUCAUUAGUCUUUUAAUUGAAGGCUGGAAUGAACGGUUGGACGAAGUAUAAGCUGUUUCAUAUAAAUUUAUAUUAGAAUUUUAUAUUUUAGUUAAAAAGCUAAAAUUUUAUUAAAAGACGAGAAGACCCUAUAAAUCUUUAUAUUUAUUUAUAUUUAAAUUUUUUGGAUUUAUUUUAUUUUUAUACAAAUAAAUAUUUUGUUGGGGUGAUAUUAAAAUUUAAUGAACUUUAAUUAAUUAAAUUCAUUAAUUUAUGUUUUAUUGAUCCAUUAUAAUGAUUAUAAGAUUAAGUUACUUUAGGGAUAACAGCG